rnacentral:lncRNA from 1 species
GCAAGUUAAGAUGCUUUUUCAAAGUGUAUCCUGAAAUACAGAACACAGGUUUUCAUUCUCAUGUGUAAGAAACUAGUACACAGACAAAGGGGAACCUUUACCCCAACAACUUCAUGAGAAAACAAAACCUUCAUAGAAAACAAGUUACGGGAUACAAAACAAGAUUGUUGCAAAGAAAUGGGACACUACCUGAGAGACUCGAGUGGCCUCCUCAAGAAACCUUUUCAUCUCAUCCUCAGAGAAUACCACGUUCAUGGCAGACCCACUGGAAAGGGUGAAGGGGAAAGUAGUGUUCACAGCUUUCCAUGGAGCCUGGGCCACCUUUAGCUCAUCUAAGACAGCUGAGAAGAUGGAGCGAUCCUCAGCCCUGUCGAUCUGCAGAGGGCUUGUACCCAUGAUCUUGACACCAUUCUUGUACAGCGGGACCGCCAAGUUGUUUGGAAUCUGGCCGCCAACUGAUAUGAUGCAGCCAUUACAUGCCUGGAAGAAACAAGCCGCAUCAGCCACACGAGUCACCUGAACAGGGAUGGGUGGCUGUGCUAAUAAUAUUGACAGCAUAUCCUCACUGAAAUAUGUGUCAUGAUGGUGAGAAUUUCAUACUGAUUAGCAAAGCAGAGAAUAUUAGAUUUU